UUGAAGCAGUCGGACCUAGCUUCGCAUAUUUCACAAUUUUUCAUCAAAUGUACAUUAUUCUACUGCUCGUCAUCACCCUAGCGAUACUCUUCAUCAAGCAACGCUACAACUACUGGAAGGUGCGCGGAGUGCCCUACCUGGACCCAGCGUUCCCAACCGGCAACGUCCGCGGUCUUGGCACCCGACUGAACCUCGCCGAGGUCUUGCACAGCUGCUACGAACGACUCAAGGACCGAUGUGGCCCCUUUGGUGGUAUUUUCUUCUUCCUUGGACCACAGGUCGUGGCAACGGAUCUGGAAUUUGUGAAAACAAUUCUGGUGCGGGAUUUUCAAUACUUCCACGAUCGAUCGCUGUUCUACAACGAGCGGGAUGAUCCGCUAUCGGCGCAUCUGUUCACGAUCGAAGGAUCCAGAUGGCGGGCGCUGAGGGCUAAACUAACGCCAACGUUCACCUCGGGGAAGAUGAAGCUGAUGUUCCCGAUCGUACGGGAUGUGGCGGUGGAGUUGGAGAAGUGUUUGGGCCAAGAAUUGUCUAUGGACUCGAACGUUGAGAUGAAGGACAUUUUGGCGAGAUUUACCACGGACGUGAUUGGGAACUGUGCCUUUGGGUUGGAGUGUAACAGCUUGAAGAAUCCGGGGGCGGAGUUUCGUGAAAUGGGUCGUAGGGUUUCGACGCUGCCACCUUUCACGAUGGUCAAGUUUUUCCUGGCACAGCAAAUCAAGCCGGUGGCACGUGCCCUCGGGAUGACCAUCAUGGAGCGAGAUGUUACCGACUUCUUCAUGAGCACCGUGAAGGAAGUGGUUGAAUACCGCGAGAAGAGCAAAGUCCAGCGAGAUGAUUUUAUGAACUUGUUGAUUGAGCUGAAGAAUUCGGCGAAGGAUAGCGAGAGAUUGACGUUGAACGAGAUAGCCGCACAGGUUUUCUUGUUCUUCUUCGCUGGAUUCGAUACGUCUUCGACAUUGAUGUUGUUCUGCCUCUACGAGUUAGCAUUGAAUCAGGAUGUUCAAGAUAAGGCAAGGCAGAAUGUUUUGGAAGUCCUGAAGCAUCAUGGCGCAUUAUCCUACGAUGCAGUUUUCGAUAUGAAGUAUUUGGACAGAUGUAUAUCUGAAACCCUCCGGAUGUACCCUCCGGCCGCUGUGAUAUUUCGAACCGCAACCAAGGACUAUCCCGUCCCGGAAACCGACUUCAUCAUCGAGAAGGAACUCCCAUAAACAUUUCCGUUCUAGGGAUUCACCGUGACCCUGAACUCUACCCGGACCCCAUGAAGUUCGAUCCGGAGCGAUUCAACCCGGACCAGGUGGCCAAACGGCAUCCCUUUGCCUAUCUUCCGUUUGGUGAAGGUCCCCGGCUAUGUAUUGGGAUGAGAUUCGCUCAGAUGCAAACCCGGGUUGGGCUGGCAACACUGCUGCAGAACUUUCGGUUUAACGUUUCUCCCAGGACACCGAUCCCACCGAAAAUCGUUCCAUCAAGCGGAUUGUUCGUCCCACAGGACAAUUUUUGGUUGAAUAUUGAAAGAAUCGAAUAAAGUGGCAAGUUUAAAGA